UGGGGUCCUAGGCCGGCAGGGUUGAGGUGGGCUGGGCUGACCCAAGACGGGGUCCCCACGGACAUCAAGCCGGGCACAGAAGACCCUCCCAGCAUGCCCAAGGCUUGACCCAUCACUCAAAUUGUUACUGACAUCAUGUGGGCACUGAGCAGCGGCUGCGGGACAUCUUGGCUGAGCCUCUUCCUAGCCGCCCAGAUCUUGAUUUCGUGCUUCUUUGUGGCUCACUCGCAAGAUCCCAAAACCGUGAACAUCAGCCUGACACCCUACCCGAAGACCCCAACGGUCAGAGCCUCGGUUACAAUCUACCCAGAGAAUACAACGCGGGACGUGACCUCCUGCCUGUGGCUCAGGAGUAAAAAUGACGAAGACCUUUGGAUCAUCUUGAACAUGUUCAAGCCCAUCGAGAAGGUCCUGAGGGGAGCUGCCUAUAAUGGGAGGCAGUUCUUUAGGAACAACUGUGGCCUGCUCAUCACCAGGCUGGAAAUGGAGGACAUGGCAGUCUACAAGUUCAUCAGGAACACCACCAGUGAGACUGAGACUGGAUCAAUAUUCCUGUGGAUCCAGCAAGAAGUGGUCACUACUACUCCAGGUCCGAAAGUACCACAGCGAAGAGUCAUCACUGUGGGCACCAUGGCGGGCAUCAUCGUCGGCUGCCUGAUCGGGUCCAUCUUAGUUGUAGGCGUGAUCACGUACCACACCAUGAAACAAUCAGAAAGGUAAUAUUAAUUUAAUCUCUUGUUCUUUAUUUCCAAUGGAUCCAUCAUCUUUUGGGGGAGGAACUCAAGACG
rnacentral:lncRNA from 11 species